rnacentral:rRNA from 1 species
UCCGGUUGAUCCCGCCGGAGGCUACCGCUAUUGGAGUUCGAUUAAGCCAUGCGAGUCGCGAGUCUUAGGGACUCGGCGUACCGCUCAGUAACACGUGGGUAACCUGCCCUAUGCUGGGGGAUAACCUCGGGAAACUGAGAAUAAUACCCCAUAGUUCACCACGCCUGGAACGGUGGGUGGACCAAAGCUCCGGCGGCAUAGGAUGGGCCUGCGGCGUAUCAGGUUGUAGGGGGUGUAAUGUACCCUCUAGCCCUCUACGCGUACGGGUGUUGAGAGACAUCGCCCGGAGAUGGAUUCUGAGACACGAAUCCAGACCCUACGGGGUGCAGCAGGCGCGAAAACUUGGCAAUGCGAGAAAUCGUGACCAGGGAACUCCAAGUGCAUCGGGUAAGACCGAUGCUUUUCUUGACUCUUCAAAGGUCUUGGAAUAAGGGGUGGGUAAGGACGGUGCCAGCCGCCGCGGUAAUACCGGCGCCCCAAGUGGUAGUCGCUUUUAUUGGGCCUAAAACGUCCGUAGCCGGUCUGGUACAUUCGUGGGUAAAUCAACCAGCUCAACUGGUUGAAUUCUGCGAGCACGGCCAGACUUGGGACCGGGAGAGGUGUGGGGUACUCUCAGGGUAGGGGUAAAAUCCUGUCAUCCUGAGGGGACCACCUGUUGCGAAGGCGCCACACUAGAACGGAUCCGACGGUCAGGGACGAAGCCUAGGGGCACGAACCGGAUUAGAUACCCGGGUAGUCCUAGGUGUAAACGCUGUGGACUUGAUGUUGGGGGCGCUCCGAGCGCACUCAGUGUCGAAGCGAAGGUGAUAAGUCCACUGCCUGGGGAGUACGGUCGCAAGGCUGAAACUUAAAGGAAUUGGCGGGGGAGCACCGCAACCUGAGGAUUGUGCGGUUUUUUGGAGUCAACGCCGG